CUUAAUUGCAUAGAAGACAUUGAAGGUGUGUUUCCCAAGGUGCCGGAUGGUUUCCGCUAGGGUGCGUUUCCACUCGUGCUCGGCAUGAGAAGCAGCUAGUUUGUAAUGCUAAAGAACGGUGUACACAAAAGAGGAACGAGCCCUUCCUCCCAUAAACCAUAUUCCCUACUGUCCUCCAUGCAGAUUUGUGGGAAACACAGGCAGACGAGGAGGAGGAGGAGGCUGAGAGCGGAGAAUCAAUAUGCAGGAGCGGCCGGCCGGUCUUUUGUAUGCUACAUGUGCGGCAGGGCUACGAGAGCCAGAGCCAGGAGUUAGAAAAGCAAAGACAGUGUAACACUGGAAUGCUUCUGGCUUAGGGUGACCCACGGCUCCAAGACUGCCACAAAGCACAACCUCUCCAAAAUCCACCCCUGAUGAAGACAAUGAGGAGGAGGAGGAAGAUGAUGGAAGAUUGAGAGAAAUCAGAAACCCUUUAUCAACCUGAGUGCCAUUCCUCAGCCUUACCCACAACCCCCUUCUACUGACUUGACCUUGAUUUUACAGUCAGAUGUCUCGCCAACAAUGAAAAACUAAUUAGGAGAGCUUUGAAACAUCCCUGCAUGCUUGAUGAUGCAGUCCAGACAAUACAAGGAAUUCAAAACGGAACUUCCACCAGAUAUUUCCAGACCAGGUGGACUCCGCUGACGGCCCUCCGGUUCUCAUACCAGAUGCUGUUUUAUUGUACUUCACAUUAACCCAGCAUUUUAUAAAAGGUGGUUGGGAGGCUCUAGCCAGAUGGAAUAAAGCAAGCAAACAGCAUUCAAAUUA